rnacentral:rRNA from 1 species
UACGUAGGGAGCGAGCGUUGUCCGGAUUCAUUGGGCGUAAAGAGCUCGUAGGCGGCUUGGCAAGUCGGGUGUGAAAACUCCAGCUCAACCUGGAGACGCCACCCGAUACCUGCCAUGGCUAGAGUCCGGUAGGGGACCACGGAAUUCCUGGUGUAGCGGUGAAAUGCGCAGAUAUCAGGAGGAACACCGGUGGCGAAGGCGGUGGUCUGGGCCGGAACUGACGCUGAGGAGCGAAAGCGUGGGGAGCGAACAGGA